UACAGAGGUCUCAAGCGUUGUUCGGAUUCAUUGGGCGUAAAGGGUGCGUAGGCGGGCAGGUAAGUCCGUGGUGAAAUCUCUGAGCUUAACUCAGAAACUGCCAUGGAUACUAUUUGUCUUGAAUAUUGUGGAGGUGAGCGGAAUAUGUCAUGUAGCGGUGAAAUGCUUAGAUAUGACAUAGAACACCAAUUGCGAAGGCAGCUCACUACACAGUCAUUGACGCUGAGGCACGAAAGCGUGGGGAUCAAACAGG
rnacentral:rRNA from 1 species